rnacentral:tmRNA from 1 species
GGGGCCGUAACGGUUUCGACAGGUUGGCGAAAGCUGCCUCGUGAUUCAGGUCGAGAGUGAGUCUCCUCUCGUAAAUCCAAGGCUCAAACAAAAAAGUAACUGCGAAUAACAUCGUUAGCUUCAAGCGUGUAGCCGUAGCUGCCUAAACUUAGACUCGUCAGAGUACGCUUACUUCUAUUGUGACUCCGUUAAGCAUUAGAGGUAAACCCCAACGGAUGCACCUUCUAGUUACCUCUGGUUGACUAUUGGGUAAAGACUUCACUAGAGCAUCCCACCAUUCGGGAUAAGGAAUGGUUCCAGUUCUGCGGAUUAAAAGAACUAAGCCUGUGAAUGAGCGAAAAGUCAAUACCCAGUCUGGACAGCAGUUCGACUCUGCUCGGCUCCAUUC